ensembl:lncRNA
CGUCUCCCGACAGGCUCGCUUUACAGAUCCGAGACGGAGGUCCAGGAAGGGAAAGAUACUUAACCCAGCCCACCCGGGUGGCUUCAGUCUCAAGCGUCUUUGUGAAAAUGCCUUGGGAGCUGCAGCCUUUCUUGUCUGAGGACACAAUUCUUUUGGUACUUUCCUCACACUGCAGUUAUUUUCUGAUAGUUUUCAAUUCACUCAACAGGGAACCGUAUCGUAAUGCUGUGCCUCCAGAGGGCCGCACCAUCUAGAACAUGUCAAGGAUUUAUCCGCUGUAGAUAACCUACAAUCAGAAAGGGAGUGAGAGCUGGUUCAUAUUUACUGAGCCCCUAUUAUGUGCCAAGCACAAUGUGCUAGGUGUAGCGGAAACCAGGGUGAGUGGCUUACGGCCUCAUGCUAAAUUUUGUAGUCCAGAGCGGGGGUCUUGAACAGGUUUGUGGCCUGUGAAGAACCAAGCUGCAGAGCAGGAAGUGGGCAGGCGGUGAGGGAGUCAAGCUGCAUCUGUGUUUAUGGCAGCCCCUCACCCCUGGGAGUACAGCCUGAGCUCCGUCUCCUGUCAGCCCUGGGUUAGAGCCUCAUAGGAGGGCUCGAAUCCUACUGAAACCAUUCACUGCUUCUCCUCCGUCUGUGAAAACAGGUCUUCCGCGAAACCAGUCCCUGAUGCUGAAAAGUUCGGGAACUGCUGGUCUAGAGGGUGAAACAUACCAAGAAUCAAAGCAUUACAAAAUGGGGAGUGGAUGAGAGGGAAGUUACCGAUAUAAUUAGUUCUGGCUUCAUUGUAGAGAAGAGGUCAGUUCAGUUCAGUCGCUCAGUCGUGUCCGACUCUUUGCGACCCCAUGAAUCGCAGUACGCCAGGCCUCCCUGUCCAUCACCAACUCCCCGAGUUCACUCAAAACUCACGUCCGAGUCGGUGAAGCCAUCGGCCAUCUCAUCCUCUGUCUUCCCUUUUCCUCCUGCCCCCCCUUUUCCUCCUGCCCCCAAUCCCUCCCAGCAUCAGAGUCUUUUCCAAUGAGUCAACUCUUCGCAUGAGGUGGCCAAAGUACUGGAGUUUCAGCGUUAGUAUCAUUCCUUCCAAAGAACACCCAGGGCUGAUCUCCUUAAGAAUGGACUAGUUGGAUCUCCUUGCAGUCCAAGGGACACUCAAGAGUCUUCUCUAAGUUAAAACUAAGACAAGGCACGUAAACCAAUUAGAAUUCGAUUGCAGGAAAUGAAAGACGAUUACAACAAGAAUGGAAAGAAGUGGGUAGAUUUAAGAGGCAAAUCCGGAAUUGAUGUUUCUCUGCUUACGGAAGACAAAAAAAGAGGGAGAAAUAAAUGGCGAUGCUGAAGUUCUCUAUUUGGCAACUGAGUGGAUGUGGAUAACUUUCUCCUAGAAUACGCAGAAAGAAGAUCAGGUUUGGGAGGGGGAAGUCGAAAGUUAAGCUUUGAAUAUUUUAAAUUUGAUCUGUUUCUGGGAUAUCUUGACAAUAUCCAGAAAUAUUUAGGAGGCAAAAUUAGCAGUAGUUAACAAUUGCUUGGAAGGUUGAAGGAAAAGGGAGAAUGAAAUUAACUUCACAGGCUUGUGGAACACUGCUGAUGGUAGUGCCAAUAACCAAGGGAGAAAUAGAAAUGGGAGUCAUUUUAGUGGGCGAGGCAAUGAGCUCAGCUCUGAACAUGUUCAGCUUCACGUGCCUGUGCAAGGAUGUACAGUAAGCAGAGGAAUACAACGGUGGACAGUCCACAGAACUGGGCUAGCAUAUAGACUCGGGUUUCAUUUCCAUAUGGGUUCCAACCAAAGCUAUGAAAGUGGAUGAGAUCACUUAGGGAGAAUUAACAGAGUGAGAAGAGCAAUGAGCUAAGGACCAAACUCGGAGGAACAUCAACACUUAAAAGCUCUUCAAAAGUGACAGUUCAGGGACUUCCCUGGUGGUGCAGUGGCGAAGACUCUGUGCUCACAAUACAGUGGAC